rnacentral:rRNA from 1 species
UGCAGUCGAGCGAACAGAUAAGGAGCUUGCUCCUUUGACGUUAGCGGCGGACGGGUGAGUAACACGUGGAUAACCUACCUAUAAGACUGGGAUAACUUCGGGAAACCGGAGCUAAUACCGGAUAACAUAUUGAACCGCAUGGUUCAAUAGUGAAAGGCGGCUUUGCUGUCACUUAUAGAUGGAUCCGCGCCGUAUUAGCUAGUUGGUAAGGUAACGGCUUACCAAGGCAACGAUACGUAGCCGACCUGAGAGGGUGAUCGGCCACACUGGAACUGAGACACGGUCCAGACUCCUACGGGAGGCAGCAGUAGGGAAUCUUCCGCAAUGGGCGAAAGCCUGACGGAGCAACGCCGCGUGAGUGAUGAAGGUCUUCGGAUCGUAAAACUCUGUUAUCAGGGAAGAACAAAUGUGUAAGUAACUGUGCACAUCUUGACGGUACCUGAUCAGAAAGCCACGGCUAACUACGUGCCAGCAGCCGCGGUAAUACGUAGGUGGCAAGCGUUAUCCGGAAUUAUUGGGCGUAAAGCGCGCGUAGGCGGUUUUUUAAGUCUGAUGUGAAAGCCCACGGCUCAACCGUGGAGGGUCAUUGGAAACUGGAAAACUUGAGUGCAGAAGAGGAAAGUGGAAUUCCAUGUGUAGCGGUGAAAUGCGCAGAGAUAUGGAGGAACACCAGUGGCGAAGGCGACUUUCUGGUCUGUAACUGACGCUGAUGUGCGAAAGCGUGGGGAUCAAACAGGAUUAGAUACCCUG